rnacentral:rRNA from 1 species
GAUGAACGCUGGCGGCGUGCCUAAUACAUGCAAGUCGAGCGAACAGAUAAGGAGCUUGCUCCUUUGACGUUAGCGGCGGACGGGUGAGUAACACGUGGGUAACCUACCUAUAAGACUGGAAUAACUCCGGGAAACCGGGGCUAAUGCCGGAUAACAUUUAGAACCGCAUGGUUCUAAAGUGAAAGAUGGUUUUGCUAUCACUAAUAGAUGGACCCGCGCCGUAUUAGCUAGUUGGUAAGGUAACGGCUUACCAAGGCAACGAUACGUAGCCGACCUGAGAGGGUGAUCGGCCACACGGGAACUGGAACACGGUCCAGACUCCUACGGGAGGCAGCAGUAGGGAAUCUUCCGCAAUGGGCGAAAGCCUGACGGAGCAACGCCGCGUGAGUGAUGAAGGUCUUCGGAUCGUAAAACUCUGUUAUUAGGGAAGAACAAAUGUGUAAGUAACUGUGCACGUCUUGACGGUACCUAAUCAGAAAGCCACGGCUAACUACGUG